rnacentral:rRNA from 1 species
GACGAACGCUGGCGGCGUGCUUAAUACAUGCAAGUCGACUGAACUUAAGGUAGCAAUAUUUUAAGGGAGGUGGCGCACGGGUGAGUAACACGUAGGUAAUCUGCCUUUAGGACUGACAUAACUCCGCGAAAGCGGAGCUAAUUUCAGAUGAUGCAGCGGCUCGACAUCGAGACAGUUGUUAAACCUUCGGGGCCUAAAGAUGAGCCUGCGUCUGAUUAGGUAGUUGGCGGAGUAAUAGCCCACCAAGCCAUCGAUCAGUAGCUGGUCUGAGAGGAUGAUCAGCCACACUGGAACUGAGACACGGUCCAGACUCCUACGGGAGGCAGCAGUAAGGAAUAUUGCUCAAUGGCCGAAAGGCUGAAGCAGCAACGCCGCGUGGAGGAUGAAAUACUUUUGUAUGUAAACUCCUGUAAGAAGGGAAAAUAAACAGAUUUUCUGUGUUGAUUGUACCUUCAGAGUAAGCCCCGGCUAACUACGUGCC